rnacentral:rRNA from 1 species
GAGGGAGUGAGUAAUGCAUAGGAAUCUACCUAGUAGUAAGGGAUUGCCACUAGAAAUGGUGGGUAAUACUGUAUAAUCCCUGCGGGGGAAAGAUUUUAUUGCUAUUAGAUGAGCCUAUGUUAGAUUAGCUAGUUGGUAGGGUAAAGGCCUACCAAGGCAGUGAUCUAUAGCUGGUCUGAGAGGAUGAUCAGCCACACUGGAACUGAGAUACGGUCCAGACUCGUACGGGAGGCAGCAGUGGGGAAUAUUGGACAAUGGGCGCAAGCCUGAUCCAGCUAUGCCGCGUGAGUGAGGAAGGCCUUAGGGUUGUAAAACUCUUUCAGUGGGGAAGAUAAUGACGGUACCCACAGAAGAAGUCCCGGCAAACUCCGUGCCAGCAGCCGCGGUAAUACGGAGGGGGCAAGCGUUGUUCGGAAUUAUUGGGCGUAAAGGGCAUGUAGGCGGUUCGGUAAGUUAAAGGUGAAAUGCCAGGGCUUAACCCGGGAGCUGCUUUUAAUACUGCCAGACUCGAGUCCGGGAGAGGAUAGCGGAAUUCCUAGUGUAGAGGUGAAAUUCGUAGAUAUUAGGAGGAACACCAGUGGCGAAGGCGGCUAUCUGGUCCGGUACUGACGCUGACGUGCGAAAGCGUGGGGAGCAAACUCGAUUAAAUACCCUGGUACUCCACGCUGUUAACUA